rnacentral:misc_RNA from 1 species
UUUCCGUAGGUGAACCUGUGGAAGGAUCAUUAAAAAAUUGGACUCCAUUGGUGAGUUCAUUAAUAAUCCCUACCCUUUGUGAAUUUGUUUGUUUGAAUAAUUUUUUUUCCAAAAAAAUUAUUGAAUGUCUUUCCUUGUUUUGGUGGAGCUUGUAAAGUGAAACCAGGCAGGGGAAUGGCAAACAAUAAUUAUUUUUGAAAAAGACCUUUUUUUAAAAUUAAACUUUUUGUAUUCAUUUGUCUAAAAUUAAUUUUUAUAAUAUAAAAACAACUUUUGACAAUGGAUCUCUUGGUUCUCGCAACGAUGAAGAACGCAGCAAAAUGCGAUAAGUAGUGUGAAUUGCAGAAUACGUGAAUCAUCGAAUCUUCGAACGCAUAUUGCACUUUUUUAGUUUACUAAAAAAGUAUGUCUGUUUGAGUAUCAGUAAAAUAUUCUCAUAAAAAACAUUGUUUUUUUUAUGGUUAUGAGUGUUUUACAACGAUAACAAGUUGUUUCACUUUAAAUUCUUUGUUAUCAAAAAAAUCAUUAAAAGCUAAUUUUAAAGAUUUUUUAAAAUUGGAUAAAAUUUUCCCGUAAAAAGGAAUAACCUAAACAAUUUUAAAAAAUUAAAAUUGGUUUGAUUUUUUUUGAAACCCAAAGGAAAAAAAACGAAAUUAACUUGAUCUCAAAUCAGAUAAGAGUACCCGCUGAACUUAAGCAUAUCAAUAAGCGGAGGAAAAGAAACUAACUAGGAUUCCCUCAGUAACGGCGAGUGAAGCGGGAAGAGCUCAAAUUUGAAAUCUUCAAGGUUUUACCUUGACGAAUUGUAGUUUAAAGAAGUGUUUUCUGUUGGAGUUUUGGUAAAAGUUCUUUGGAAAAGGACAUCAUAGAGGGUGAGAAUCCCGUAUUUGACCAUUAUCUCCAGCUUUGUGAUACACUUUCAAAGAGUCGGAUUGUUUGGGAAUGCAGUCCAAAAUGGGUGGUAAAUUUCAUCUAAAGCUAAAUACUGGCGAGAGACCGAUAGCGAACAAGUACCGUGAGGGAAAGAUGAAAAGAACUUUGAAAAGAGAGUUAAACAGUACGUGAAAUUGUCAAAAGGGAAGCGUUUGACACCAGUGUUGUUUUCUCGAAAAUCAAUUAAAAAAGGCCGGAUUUUGUGUUGUAUUGACUUUAUCAGCUUUCUGCACUCUUUUCUUGUCUUUUUUAAUGCACUUUUCGUUUAACAAGUCAACAUCAAUUUCUUUUGUUGUAAAAGGGUCAUUGGAAGGUGGCUUUCUUUUCGGAGAAAGUGUUUAUAGCCUUUGGCCUCUGCAAUCGGAGAGAUUGAGGUCUGCAGCGUAGAUCCUUCGGGGUUAGAUACAUUUGUACUAAGUUAUAGCCUUUCAUAGACAACUUGUUGACUAUGAUCAGUCAUGUAGCUUACUCGCUUAUGCUAUUU